UAAAAAAGAAUGAUAUCCACUUCCAGAGAAAGAAUCUUUGGAGCAGAAAUGCAGAUUGAAACCUAUGACUUAUCACUUGCUUAUUUGGACAUAUGAUUUGGGAUUUGGGCUUUAUAAGAUUAUUCAAUCACAAAAAUGAAUAUGGAAAUAUGUUUUACAUGAUAAUACAUGUAUAACCCAGAUUGAAUAGCUGGUCCGCUCUGGGAGUGGAGAGAGAAGAGAGAAAGACAACAUGGAUCAUAUAACUCCAGAAAAUGUAUUUUAAAAUUUGUUAUUAAAAUAAAAGUAGAUAAGUUAGGAGGAAAAAAAGGUAGCAGGAGAUAAUGUUUAAAAAAAGAGAGAGAGAUAAAAGGAACAGCAAGCAAGACACUGGAAGUUUUCCAUUCCAAAACUACAAUUCAAAACAGUCUUAUUUCACAUGACAAUUCAAGUCACAAAACCAAAAUUCACCAUUAACAGUAACUAUAGAUAAGAAAAUAGAUUGGAGUUGCAUUCGUAAUUAAUAGUUGUAAGUUAAAAAUCAGAAGUCCAAGGGUUAUUUGUCAAUUAAAUUCUUCUUAAGCACCUCUAUGUUCAAAGCAUUGUGCCAUGCACUAGGGUCACAGAAAAUAAAGUACUUCCUGCUGUGAAGUUUACAUUUUACUAAGUAAUCCUCAACUCUUUUUUCCUUUGGUGUCCCAUUAAAAUCAAUGGAGAAAUUAAAAUGGCAGGCAAGGAUAACAUCCAAUCUGAAAAGAGGAGCACCAGAAUUGGGAUUGUAAACCAAUUAAGAAAUCAGACAUCAGCAUACCACCUUUUUCUGAGGCAGGUGGUGCUACACAAGUGGUCAGACCUGAGUUCAAAUCAGGACUCAGACACUCACUAGCUAUGUGGCCCUGGGCAAGUCACACAAUCCCUCUUUUGCCUCAGUUUCCUCAUCUGAAAAAAUGGGGAUAAUAAUUAGAAACUACCUCCCAGGGUUAUGAGUCUCAAAUGAUGAAACAGGUAAAUAUUAAAUAUUAAAUAUUAUUUUUUUGCUUUCUUGGUCAUUCCUACUGAUAGUGAAAAAGCAUUCUAGAAUGAUAGGAUUACAGAAUUAAUGUUUUCAAUCAUGCCUUGCAUACUGACAAGGGAUGCCUGGCCCCUUCCAAUGUAAAGAAUCCUUCCCCACAGCUCCUGUGGAAAAUAAUUUCUUUCUCAAGUUACCUCUGACACUGGUCUCAAGACUAUCUCAACAAUAUUAUAUAUUGGUCUUAAAUCACAUGUGUAUUUCUGUAAAAAAGCUUCCUACACAGAUGAAAGGUGACGUUAUUGAUAGUUAGAGCUAUAUCCUAAAUAAAAGAGUAGCCAUAUAAAUAUUGUUUUCACAAAUAUUUCUUCUAAUUAAGACUCAGUCAGGAGGUAGCUGGGUGGCUCAGUGGAUUGAAAGCCAAGCCUAAAGACAGGAGGUCCUGGGUUCAGAUUUGAUCUCAAAGACUUCCUAGCUGUGUGACUCACUGCCUAAACCUUACCAUUCUGCCUAGAAACCAAGAUCCAGUAUUGAUUCUAAAACAGAAAGUAAGGGUUAAUUUUUUUUUAAUUAAAAAAAAGAUUCAGUCUGAAAAAUGUUAAGAAUGGCCAAAAAAUGUACAAAACUUUUGAAAAAUUGUUUAUCAACUUUGAAAACCUAGAUGCAAUCCUAUGAAAACCAUAUCACAUAAUGAUUCUGCAGUUUUCACAUACAUCCGGUUGAAAAGCUAGCACAGAUCAAAGAGUGCUUCCUCUAACCUGGAGAGCAUCAAUCCAUUUUUAAUCAAAUUCAUAAUGAGUGUUUGCUCAAAAAAAAAAAAGUUGACCAUAGAAUGCAAUUCAAUUAUUGUUAAUCAAAUGAAGUUAGUCUACUUGGUAAAAGCAUCUUCAUGGUUUCAUGUGAUUAUGUUAUACAACCAAUAUCCUAUUCUUACAAGUUCUUGGAUAGCAUUAUGGGUUUUUAAAGUAUGAUUUUAAGCAAAUUUCAAAACAAAUAACAUACAUGAUAAACCAAUACACUUUUAAAUCAAACCAUUGUCAUACAAUAUACACCUAUUAUGGCCUAAUCCAAGCAGUAUGGUCUUGAAAUCACAACAAAAUGCACGGUGUCCCAAAAGUCUUAGUGCAGUUUUUAAGCUUUAGUACCUUCCAUCUAGGCGAUUGUAAGCUUUGGUGAGCUUAAAAUUGCACAAAGACUUUUAGGAUAUCCUGUAGUUAGGUGAUUUCAUCCAAUUUUAAAACAAGGCUAAAAAAGGUAGAGGGAGGAAGACAGGGAGAGGGGGAGAGGGGGAGAAGGAGAGAAGGAGAGAAGGAGAGAGGGAGAGAGGGAGAGAGGGAGAGAGGGAGAGAGGGAGAGAGGGAGAGAGAGAGAGAGAGAGAGAGAGAGAGAGAGAGAGAGAGAGAGAGAGAGAGAGCUUUUAGACAAUGUUUUUCUCCCCUCAAUCAUUUGGGUACUUAGCAUGAGUUAGGUGUUUGUUGUUGUUUUUAAUCCCUCUUAGUUAAUAAUUAAGGUCCUGUACAUCUCAAGGGAAGCAGAGGGCCCCAGAUGGGCUCACAGAGAACCAAGAUUUAGGUCUUGAAGAGGCAUGACAGAUUUACAGCCCAACCCCCUCAUAACACAGUGGAGCAGGCGGACGCCCAAAGCCGUUGAAAGACCGUGGCCAAGAUCGCACAGGUGGUCAAGUCAAGGCCAAGAUUCGAACCCAGUCCUGAUGUUUCCAUCACCCAUACAACAGGGCGCUUAAUUAAAGCUUGCGGGUGUACUUCACCGCCUCACCUGCCUCCCCUCCCCCAAUUCCAAUUAUCAAUGAACGGGGAAGAGCCCAAUCUACCUACAACAGCACCUCUCUGCACCUGGCAGCAGGGAAGGAGGAUGUUUUAUCACACACCCUAACACACCACAAGGGAAAAAACUGGUACCCUGGGGCGGAGGGGGAGGGGGCGACGCCGCCCAGGCCGCCCGCAGCAGCAACCGCAGCAACGGAAGCGGCUGCAGCCCCUUGCCUAGGCUCUAGGGAACUCCAGGGCUCAGGAAGCUUCUAGUGAAGUCCAGUCCCGCCGGUCCUCCUCCUCCUCCUCCUCCUCCUGCAGGGCCUCCUUCACCACGAAAUUGAACAGAAAGAGACAAUAAAGUUGUGCAAACAUUGACAAUCUCAAAGAUCCAGGACCACUGCAUUUAUUAGGUUUGCAUCCGAAGAAGCCACUGUAUCCUUCUUCCUUCAAGAGCUGAGACCUCCAGCUGUUGUAACAGAAUUUUAGAUUUAGGGCUGCAACAAGCCCUUAAAUUCAAAGAGGUCUUACCCAAGGUCACUCACUAGAAUCUGAAUUUGAAUUCACGUCUAAGGGCUCUCUCAGGUUCAAGUUAGACCUAAAAAUAUAGUACUCUGCGGUUACUGUCGGAUGUUUUUUUAACCUUCCUAAAUUAAUGAUUCACAGCUUCCUGUAUUUGGGAGAAAUCCCAUGUUUCAGACUGUGUGGGUGAAACUGAACGGCAACCCGAGACAUCGGUCAUAAUUAUAAAACCCAUUAAUCAUACUUCGUUUGUCUCCUUUACACCUUUCUUCUGAACUAAAUAAUUCACUUGCUGGGUUCAUUGAACACUAGAGUAAAAGUUGGGAGACCUGAAUCCAUUUUGUGACUUUGGAAAGACACUUAAUCUGUCAAAAUCCUAGUCUGCUUUUGAAAAGAAACAAGAAUUACCCUAUAAUCUCAAAAUGUUUAUUUUCAAUUCAAUUUAGUGAUUAUCAUUAUUAUGCACCCACUAUAUGUCAGGCAGUUGGGUUAAUAGACUGAAAGAAUUAACAUUCAUUUUAUUGUAAAAAUAAAAAUGGAUGAUCUUUUUGUAAGUACUGUA